GACGUAGGGGGCGAGCGUUAUCCGGAUUCACUGGGCGUAAAGGGCGCGUAGGCGGCUGCGCAAGUCCGGCGUGAAAUCCCACGGCUUAACUGUGGAACUGCGUCGGAUACUGCGCUGGCUAGAGGAUGGUAGAGGCUUGUGGAACUAGCGGUGUAGCGGUGAAAUGCGCAGAUAUCGCUAGGAACGCCGGUGGCGAAGGCGGCUGGCUGGGCCAUUCCUGACGCUGAGGCGCGAAAGCUAGGGGAGCGAACCGG
rnacentral:rRNA from 1 species